rnacentral:rRNA from 1 species
UGGGGAAUUUUGGACAAUGGGCGAAAGCCUGAUCCAGCAAUGCCGCGUGUGUGAAGAAGGCCUUCGGGUUGUAAAGCACUUUUGUCCGGAAAGAAAUCCUCUGGGGUUAAUACCCUCGGGGGGAUGACGGUACCGGAAGAAUAAGCACCGGCUAACUACGUGCCAGCAGCCGCGGUAAUACGUAGGGUGCAAGCGUUAAUCGGAAUUACUGGGCGUAAAGCGUGCGCAGGCGGUUUUUGUAAGACGGAUGUGAAAUCCCCGGGGCUUAACCUGGGAACUGCAUUCGUGACUGCAAGGCUAGAGUAUGGCAGAGGGGGGUAGAAUUCCACGUGUAGCAGUGAAAUGCGUAGAGAUGUGGAGGAAUACCGAUGGCGAAGGCAGCCCCCUGGGCCAAUACUGACGCUCAUGCACGAAAGCGUGGGGAGCAAACAGGAUUAGAUACCCCUGGUAGUCCACGCCCUAAACGAUGUCAACUAGUUGUUGGGGGAUUCAUUUCCUUAGUAACGUAGCUAACGCGUGAAGUUGACCGCCUGGGGGAGUACGGUCGCAAGAUUAAAACUCAAAGGGAAUUGACGGGGGUCAUAGCUGUUUUCCCU